ensembl:rRNA 5S_rRNA 5S ribosomal RNA
GCCUACAGCCAUGCCACUCUGAACAAUCCCAAUCCUGUCUGAUCUCAGAAGCCAAACAGGGUCAGGCCUGGUUAGUACUUGGAUGGGAAACCACUAGGAAGGAUCAAGUGGCUUAGACA